UUUGUUAUCUGAAUCGUCACCUGGUGUAAGGAGCUUAACGAAUAUUCUCCCACUAGCUUAAGCUUGCUUUUUUCAGAAAAAAAAAUACAUCACCAAUGUGACUUCCCCUCUCUCACUCCAUUUUUGCCGUCUAGCCAUUGGAAAUCUUAAUAUCCCUAAACUAAAACCCUUAAGAAACUAUGGGCCAUGGCUUUGAAAAGAUUCAAAUCCAUCGCACUACGAACUGUGUUUCUGCCGUAUGUACGUCCAAUCAUAAUUGUUUGCAGAUUCGCUGAACCCUUGCUUUCCUCCAUGAAGGAGCUAGAAUAUGUUUUGAGGUUCAGAGGUCUCGGUUACACUAGAAAUUAAGAUGAUAAAUAUGAGAUUUGUAAAUCCAUCUUGGAGAAGUUCCCCAACGCUUACAGAUACUC